UGGGGAAUAUUGCACAAUGGGGGAAACCCUGAUGCAGCGACGCCGCGUGAGCGAUGAAGUAUUUCGGUAUGUAAAACUCUAUCAGCAGGGAAGAAACUGACGGUACCUGACUAAGAAGCACCGGCUAAAUACGUGCCAGCAGCCGCGGUAAUACGUAUGGUGCAAGCGUUAUCCGGAUUUACUGGGUGUAAAGGGAGCGUAGACGGACUUGCAAGUCUGAAGUGAAAGCCCGGGGCUCAACCCCGGGACUGCUUUGGAAACUGUAGGUCUAGAGUGCUGGAGAGGUAAGUGGAAUUCCUAGUGUAGCGGUGAAAUGCGUAGAUAUUAGGAGGAACACCAGUGGCGAAGGCGGCUUACUGGACAGUAACUGACGUUGAGGCUCGAAAGCGUGGGGAGCAAACA
rnacentral:rRNA from 1 species